AUGGCUGCGCUCUUGCUGAGACAUGUUGGUCAUCAUUGCCUCCAAGCCCACUUUAGCCCACAGCUCUGUAUCAGAAAUGCUGUUCCUUUGGGAACCAUGGCCAAAAAAGAGAUGGAGCAGUUCUGGAAUAAGAAUAUAGGUUCAAACCGUCCUGUAUCUCCCCACAUCACUAUCUACAGCUGGUCUCUUCCCAUGGCGAUGUCCAUCUGCCACCGUGGCACUGGUAUUGCUUUGAGUGCAGGGGUCUCUCUUUUUGGCAUGUCAGCCGUGUUACUCCCUGGGAACUUUGAGUCUUAUUUGGAACUCGUGAAGUCCCUGUGUCUGGGGCUAGCACUGAUCCACACAGCUAAGUCUGCACUUGUCUUCCCUCUCAUGUAUCAUACCUAGAAUGGGAUCCGACAUUUGAUGUGGGACCUAGGAAAAGGCCUGAAGAUUCCCCAGCUAUACCAGUCUGGAGUGGUUGUCCUGGUUCUUACUGUGUUGUCCUCUAUGGGGCUGGCAGCCAUGUGAAGAACGGAGGUUCCCAGCAUCAUCUUCCUACACCUUAUUACAUUCAUCCAUCUUUCUGUUUUUCAUUCUUAUCUCCAGCCUGGGAAAAGUUCUCCUUAUUUGUUCAGAUCCUUUUGUACUUUCAGAUCCCCUUGGAGCAGUAGAGUACCUUGUAGACCGUAAUAGUGGAAAAGGGUCUAGUUUUCCCCUUGUUUCUAAAGAUGCGGUGGCUGCAAAAACUCCCCUUUUUUGCCCACAGCUUGCCAACUCUCGGCCUAGAAGCAGUUAUUCUGUCUCCAUAUUGGGCUUUGAUUUGUGCUGAGGGUCAGCUUUUGGCUUCUUCUUCCUGAGACAGUGGAAACAAUGCUAGCUCUGUGGCUUCUGCCCUGGGGACUGGGGGUGAGGCUUUGGGUGCCACUGCCUGUGGGUUGCUGGCUUAAAGGACAAUUCUGUUCAUUGGUGAGAACCCAGGCCAUUAACACCUACACAGUGUUAUUGAAAGAAGAGAGGUGGGGGUGGAGGGGAAUUAGUCUGUCCCAGUUAGAGGGAGAUAAAGAGGGCUAGUUAGUUCUUGGAGCAGCUGCUUUUGACACAAGAAGAUCCAGAAAAUUAUUGAACAUAUUAAUGGUUAUUUCUUUUUCUUGGAUUUCCAGAAAAGCCUCUUAAUUUUGUGCUUUCUCAUCAAAGUCAUGUACCCUUUUUUUCUGAAACUGAAUUAAAAUACUCAUUUAAAA